UCACGUCGAGCGUAUGCCUACAAGCUACGAUAGGUAAUCGACCUUGAAAAGGUGACCGGGCACAUUGGACUGAGAUACGGCCCAGACUCCUACGGGAGGCAGCAGCUGAGAAUCUUCCACAAUGUACGAAAGUCUGAUGGAGCGACAUCGCGUGAGGGAUGAAGGCCUUCGGGUUGUAAACCUCUUAAAUUAUCGAAGAAUGAGUGACAGUAGAUAAUGUAAGCCUCGGCUAACUACGUGCCAUAGCCGCGGCCGACG
rnacentral:rRNA from 1 species